GGGUCAGUAGGUUGGUCGUGCCACCGGUACGUACUGGUCUCACUGAUUCCUCCUUCCUGAAGAACCGUAAUGCCACUAAUUUGGUGUUGCGGGGAAACAGGACUGUUACUUUGAAAAAAUUAGAGUGUUUAAAGCAAGCUAACGCCUGAAUACAUUAGCAUGGAAUAAUGAAAUAGGACGAUCGAUCCUAUUUUGUUGGUUUCUAGGAUUGACGUA
rnacentral:rRNA from 1 species